ACCAUUAAAUAAAUAAUGAUAAAAAUAUAGACGUAACAAAAAAAAUAAAUAAACAUAUAAAUAAACGCACAUGAUAUAGUAGUAAUAACAGAAGUGGUAAAAAUAGCAUGUGUAAUAAUAAAAAUAGCACUUAUAGCAAUAACAUCCGUGACACACUAAAAAAAAUAUGUAUUUUGAAGAUAAUAACUUGAGAUGUCUUAAUGAAAAUUCUCUUAAAUUAUCUAAAAAAGCAUUAUCGGAAAAAGAAAUAGGUGAAUUAAUAAAUAAAUAUAAAAAAAAAAAAAUAUAUGAAUCUCAUUUUGACACUGAUAAGAACAUUAAUAAUAAAAGUCAUACAUAUAAAAAUAUUAGGAAAAAAUACAAUUUACUUGAUCAUAGUAACAGUAGCUAUAACAAGAACAUAUCACCUCUUAAUAAUAUAGUAGCACAAACUAAUAUACCCAAUAGUAGUAUAACCUAUAAUGAAAAUACUGAUAAUCAAAAUAAUAGUUAUAAACGUUUUUUGAUAGAUGAAUAUGAUAAACAAUACCAAACGGGUGAUACAAUUACUAAUAUACACUCGAAUUACUUUAAUAAUAAAUUAAAAAGUGGUAAAACUGUACUACCAUGUUCAUAUGAAAAAAAAUAUUUUUUUAAUAAUAGUAUAAGUAAAAAAAAUUCUAAUAAUCUUCAGUCACAAGAAAAGGAGCCUUUAUUUUGUAACAGCAGUCGUAGUCGCAUACAUAAUAACGGAAUAAGUGAUAAACUAAAAAUAAGUAAACCGAAAAAUAAUAAUAGUAGUAGUCGUAGUAGUAAUAGUCGUAGUAGUAGCUGCUUAUUCAAUCAUGAUCCAGGACCCAACAUAGACAAAACUAAUAGCGAAAUGAACAAUGAUUAUAAUUCGUAUACACCUGUAAAACAUGAUUAUACUAAGUACAUGCCGGUUAAAAGCAAUUACAACUAUAUAAAAAAUGACCUACUAAAUUUGUAUAAUUAUAAUAAAAAUCAUAUUAAUGAAAAACCAAUUGCCGAUGAUUAUAAUAAGUUAAUAAACAGUAAUAAUUUUAUAAAAAACAAAACAAAACAUACGAGUGAAAUAGGAAGAGCGGAAAUAUCAAGGCAAAACAAUUUUUAUAGCUAUAGUGAUAAAAAAAAUGAAAGUGAAACAGAAGAUUAUAUACAAACAAGAACAGAUGGUUUACGAAAUGAGUUAAAUAAUCCGAUAAAAAUUAAAAGCAUGUAUACGCAUUUUUUUAAUUUAACGGACAGAUUGGAAAAUAUUAAGAAUAAAAAAGAAAAUUUCACUUGUGGCUAUACCAGUAACAGUAAUUAUAUUAAUAAUGGUAACAAAAAACAGAAGAAAAAAAAAAGUAGUAUAAAAGAAGAUAUGUUAUGGAAAAAAAAGUUAUUUAACAGUACAACUACAAUUAAAGAUAAAAUAAAAGAGGAUGAAAUAUUAAACACUAAUAAAUAUAAUACUUAUUCAUAUAAUGGGCCAAAAUAUAUGAACAAUCUUACUGUUACUAGUACUAGUAGUACUAUUGUUCCGAAUAACUUACAUGUUAGCAAUGCACCAAAUAAAUAUAUAGAUGAAAUAGUUAAUUUAAAAAAGGGUCAUAUAAAUAAGUAUAAUGAUAAUAACACAGAAGGUGGUACAAGGAAUCGAAUUAUUUUCGAAAAUGAAAACGAAAUUAAUGCUUUGGACGAUUUGAAAAAAAUGAAAUCCAAUUUGUCUUUUAAUUAUGAAGACAAAAAAGGACUAUUUAAAAAUGCAAGAGAAAACGAAAAAAUGUAUAAAAGUGAAAAGGUUAAUAGUGACCUUCGUGAUAGCAACAGCAAUACCAUCCGUAAUAGUCUUAGUAAUAGCCUGAAUAAUAGUAGUAAUUAUUACAAACAUAACAAUUACAGUAGUAGUAAUACUAAUUAUAUUGAUAACAGAAGUAUGACUUCUAACAUGAUUAAAGGUACCCACUUACACAUGAGUGCUAUAUCUUGCGGUUCCAAUGACUAUUCUACUUUGUGUGAUUAUAAAAAUGAUUCUUCUCCACUAACAAAAAGUUAUAAUAGUAAUAUUGAACAGUUAAAGAGGUUAUCAAAAUAUAACAGUGUAAGUAGUAAUAAAAUAAACAAAUUGAAAGAGACCUCUAAUAAGGCUUCUGUUUUUAGUAAAAUAAAUUCAAAGAACUAUUAUAAUGAUAAUAAAAAUAAUAUUAAUUUUUCUACAUCAAAUAAUAUAUUAGAAUCAUCAUCAGGAAGGUAUAAUCCUGAUAUAGUAAAUUCUCAUUCGGAUGUUUUGUCACAAAAUAGUGUAAGUAAUAUAGAAAAAUAUAAUAGUAAACAGAAUACCACUAUUAAUCGAUCACGUAAUAUAUAUGAUAAUUACAGAGAUAGUAAUAACUUAUGUUUUAGUAACAUAUCAAAUAGUGGUAUUGAUAUGUGUGAUGAUGACGUUGUUUAUUUAGGAAUGAAUUAUCAAUUAGAUAAAAAGAAAGUACAAAACAAAGGUCAUAUUUUAAAUAAAAGAAACAGUGAAAAAACAGGAAACGCAAACCAUUUUAAUAUUUGUGAAUCCAGCGAUAAUUAUAAUAACAGUGCUAAUACUAUUCGAAGGGGAGAUACUCUUAGUAAUGACUUACGUGAAAAUAUAAAUAACAGUCGAAGUGAGUAUUAUAAAAAAAGAGCACAGACGAUGAAUAUAAAUUCGUUUAAAAAUGAUCUAUCAAAAGAUGACAAGUACGAUAGUGGUAUACAUAAAAGAAACACACAUAACAAUAUAGCACAGGAUACUGGGAUGUAUAACAAUAUAGCAAAUAACAAUGACAUGCACAACUUAAAAGAAAAUACGAAUUACUUUAAAAGCUUAAGUGAUAAUCACAUAGCAACACAAGAAGGGUAUAAAAUAUUAAAUAACAUUUUGCGGAAAAGUAAAACGUGUCGGAAUAAUGCUAAAAAUAUUUAUGAUAAUGAUGUAAAUGAAAAUGCCUAUACAAGGUACUUAUAUGAAAACGAAAAAAACAGAAAUUCUAAUGGCUAUAAUAAUAAUAAUAUAAAUAGAUAUAAUAAUAUUUAUAAUAGUAAUACCUAUUAUCCUAAUAUACAAAAAUAUGAUUAUUUAAAAAUAAACAGAAAUAACACAAGACCAAUGAAUAUUAGUGAAUUAAAUUGUGAUGUCAAUGAUGAAAAUGAUCAUGACCAUAAUCAAAAUGAUAAUUAUUAUGAUAGAGGAGAAAAUAGAUAUGAUAAUAGUGAUGAAAAUAAUAUAAAAAAUUAUGUUAAUUCAUUAAGUUUUAUUGAUAUAUUUGUUUUAAUUAUAAUUUAUUUUAUAAAAUUUUUAUAUUAUUUAUUUCGUAAUCUUUUUCAAUUUAUUUUAUUAUUUUUUAUUCAUUGUUAUCAUAAGUAUAGGACAAAUUCGUUUAAAACAUUUGCCUUUUCAGUUGGUAUUGCAGUCAUUUUUUUUUUUUUUAUCAUAUCAACUACUUUGCUCUCUUAUAGGAGUAUGAAUAUUGAAUAUUUUGAUAGAGAUAUAUAAAAAAAAUAAAAAAUAAAAAAAUAAAAAAAUAAAAUAAAGA
rnacentral:lncRNA from 1 species